rnacentral:rRNA from 1 species
GCCUGCCCUGUGACUAUAUGUUUAACGGCCGCGGUAUUUUGACCGUGCGAAGGUAGCGCAAUCACUUGUCUUUUAAAUGGGGACCUGUAUGAAUGGCAUAACGAGGGCUUGACUGUCUCCUCUUUCAAGUCAAUGAAAUUGAUCUCCCCGUGCAGAAGCGGGGAUGAAUACAUAAGACGAGAAGACCCUAUGGAGCUUUAGACACUAAAGCAGAUCAUCAUCAACAUCCCCGACAACAGGAAACUAAACCAACUGAACCCUGCCCUAUUGUCUUUGGUUGGGGCGACCGCGGAGAAAUAAAAAACCCCCGCAAGGACCGAAUGUACAACAUUCACAACCAAGAGCGACAGCUCUAAUUAACAGAACAUCUGACCAAUAAGACCCGGCAAUGCCGAUCAAUGAACCGAGUUACCCUAGGGAUAACAGCGCAAUCUCCUCUUAGAGUCCCUAUCGACGAGGAGGUUUACGACCUCGAUGUUGGAUCAGGACAUCCUAAUGGUGCAGCCGCUAUUAAGGGUUCGUUUGUUCAACGAUUAAAG